rnacentral:rRNA from 1 species
GAUGAACGCUAGCGGCAGGCUAAUACAUGCAAGUCGGACGGGAUGGGAGAGCUUGCUUUCCAUGAGAGUGGCGCACGGGUGCGUAACACGUAUGUAACCUACCUUUACCAGGGGGAUAGCCUCUCGAAAGAGAGAUUAAGACCGCAUAACAUCAUAUUUCAGCAUUGCGAUAUGAUCAAAUAUUUAUAGGGUAAAGAUGGGCAUGCGGGACAUUAGCUAGUUGGCGGGGUAACGGCCCACCAAGGCGACGAUGUCUAGGGGAUCUGAGAGGAUGACCCCCCACACUGGUACUGAGACACGGACCAGACUCCUACGGGAGGCAGCAGUAAGGAAUAUUGGUCAAUGGGCGGAAGCCUGAACCAGCCAUGCCGCGUGCAGGAAGACGGCCCUACGGGUUGUAAACUGCUUUUGCAGGGGAAUAAACCCCCGUACGUGUACGGGGCUGAAUGUACUCUGAGAAUAAGGAUCGGCUAACUCCGUGCCAGCAGCCGCGGUAAUACGGAGGAUCCAAGCGUUAUCCGGAUUUAUUGGGUUUAAAGGGUGCGUAGGCGGCCUAUUAAGUCAGGGGUGAAAGACGGUAGCUUAACUAUCGCAGUGCCUUUGAUACUGAUG